UCAAAUAUUGGAUUAUUAUUAUUAUUAUUAGCGAGCGGUUUUCAACUGUUCUUAUCGCCACAGCUAGAAUAAUGCAAAAAAAUUAAAGAGGUAGAUAUUCAAUUAAUUAAGUUUUAACUUUCAAUCAUUAUUAUUCAUUAAUGUAAUCUUCAAUUAUUGAUUUGUCAUUAUUUGGCGGCGCAUGAUUCCGUUUAAUCAGCAACCAAAUCCAGCUCUGAGUUGUUGGAACCACAAACGAUCGCUAGAUUGCAGCACACCUGAUCAACAACUUGGACGUAUGAUAUUAAUUAUAUAAAAAAAAUAUAUCAUAUAGAAAAAUUUGAAUGCAGUAUUGAGCCGACUUAUACUCAUCACCAACUCUAAAUAUUACUAAAAUGCUGUCUUUUUUUUUUUUUGUCUGGCUGAAAGCUAGCGAAGCCUUUGCUUCACAUAUAUAAUCAACACGAGCAUGGUUUAAAGUCGUCGAAAUAGACCACACAUAAUAAUUAAUACAACUUCGUCAUCAUCUCUGAAGUAUCAAAGAUUGGUUUUGCUCCUCAUUUUUCUAGAAUGUUUCAUAUGUAUAUAUAUGUGUGUGUGUGUGUGUCAAUUGUUGUGGACAAAUAGAAGUUUCAAACGUCAAUGGCAUCAUGUGAGUUUGUUUGUUUCUGGGAUUAUUAGAUCAAAGCAAAAUAAUAACACUAAACUCCGGCUACUGCAAAGUCCAAACAUGUUGUGUCCUCGGUGCGUAGACUUGCUUUCAUCAAUUCCAUUGACCGGCAGCCCCAUAGCAUUUAUUCAUGCAACUCUUAUAUGCACAAAAAACAAAAAAAAACAAAAAAUUGGGUGAGAAAUAAUUGCUUAGUUUGAUUCUAGAACGGUGCAGAAGAUGCUAAUUUUGAGAUUGAUUAUUACGAACCCAUGGUUCAGUUCUGAUAAUAGAGUUAAGGCUUCAUCAAGUGGAACCACC
rnacentral:lncRNA from 1 species